rnacentral:rRNA from 1 species
ACAUGCGACCACAGAUUCAAGAGAAUUGGGCAUCCCGUCCGCUCUGCCAGACACAAGCUUGAAAUCGGUGGAUUAGUAGUUGGGUGGGUGACCACCAGCGAAUACCACUGUUGCAUGUU